rnacentral:rRNA from 1 species
AGUCGAACGAUGAACUGGAGCUUGCUCCAGGGAUUAGUGGCGAACGGGUGAGUAACACGUGAGUAACCUGCCCUUGACUCUGGGAUAAGCGCUAGAAAUGGCGUCUAAUACCGGAUACGAGCUUCAGCCGCAUGGCUAGGAGUUGGAAAGAAUUUUGGUCAAGGAUGGACUCGCGGCCUAUCAGCUAGUUGGUGAGGUAAUGGCUCACCAAGGCGACGACGGGUAGCCGGCCUGAGAGGGUGACCGGCCACACUGGGACUGAGACACGGCCCAGACUCCUACGGGAGGCAGCAGUGGGGAAUAUUGCACAAUGGGCGAAAGCCUGAUGCAGCAACGCCGCGUGAGGGAUGACGGCCUUCGGGUUGUAAACCUCUUUUAGUAGGGAAGAAGCGAAAGUGACGGUACCUGCAGAAAAAGCACCGGCUAACUACGUGCCAGCAGCCGCGGUAAUACGUAGGGUGCAAGCGUUGUCCGGAAUUAUUGGGCGUAAAGAGCUCGUAGGCGGUUUGUCGCGUCUGCUGUGAAAUCUGGGGGCUCAACCCCCAGCCUGCAGUGGGUACGGGCAGACUAGAGUGCGGUAGGGGAGAUUGGAAUUCCUGGUGUAGCGGUGGAAUGCGCAGAUAUCAGGAGGAACACCGAUGGCGAAGGCAGAUCUCUGGGCCGUAACUGACGCUGAGGAGCGAAAGCAUGGGGAGCGAACAGGAUUAGAUACCCUGGUAGUCCAUGCCGUAAACGUUGGGAACUAGAUGUGGGGGCCAUUCCACGGUCUCCGUGUCGCAGCUAACGCAUUAAGUUCCCCGCCUGGGGAGUACGGCCGCAAGGCUAAAACUCAAAGGAAUUGACG